AUGGUGGCCGGCACGCAGUACCGUGGCAUGUUCGAGGAGCGCAUGAAGAACGUGAUCAAGCGGGCAGAGGCGUCCAACGGCAAGAUCAUACUGUUCGUGGACGAGAUGCACAUGCUCUACUCCGCCGGCAGCAGCCGGACCAACUGCACGAGCGCCUCCAACAUGUUCAAGCCGGCGCUGGCCCGCGGCCGCAUCCGCUGCGUGGGGGCAACCACCUUUGACGAGUACCGCCAGUACGUGGAGAAGGACCCUGCGCUCGAGCGACGGUUUCAGAAAGUGCACGUCGGGGAGCCGAGCAUUGAGGCCACCAUUGCCAUCUUGCGGGGGCUAAAGCAACGAUUCCAAGACCACCAUGGACUCGAAAUUCAGGAUGCCGCUCUCGUCGCUGCUGCGCACCUCGGCGCCCGCUACAUCACCGGUCGUCAAUUUCCAGAUAAGGCAAUUGAUCUGAUCGAUGAGGCAUGUACUUUCAUAGCCAGAAAGAUGAAGCAGAUUGACAACACUACUCCCAGUAGCUUAAACGAUGCAAAUAGAGUGAAGAAAGCAAUUGUUGAUCCAAAUGAUGUCGCGCAGGUUGUGAGUCGAUGGACUGGAAUUCCUGUCGCUACACUUUGUGAAGAGGAGAAGGACAAAUUAAUCCACAUUCGAGACAGAGAGCGGGUUAUUGGUCAAGAUGAAGCGGUCAAUUUGGUUGCGCAAGCGGUGUUACGCUCUAGGGCCGGCCUUGAUCAACCUAGCCAACCGACAGGAUCUUUCCUCUUUUUAGGCCUGUCUGGUGUUGGAAAGACAGAGCUUGCAAAAGCUCUUGCCAAGCAACUAUUUGACAGUGAAAAGAUGCUUGUUCGGGUUGACAUGUCUGAAUAUGCUACUGUUGGGUCUGUAACACGUCUCAUUGGAGCACCUCCAAGCUAUAUUGGAUAUGAAGAUAGCGGACAAUUGACUGAAAAGGUGAGAAAGCAUCCAUAUAGCCUUAUCCUUUUUGAUGAGGUUGAGAAGGCACAUCCCUCGGUGUUUAAUAUUUUUCUUCAAAUUCUUGAUGAUGGCAUGUUGACUGAUGGCAAAGGUAGAACUGUUGACUUUAAGAAUACUAUCAUCAUUAUGACCUCAAAUCUUGGAUCAGAAUACCUUACAACAAAAAUGACUGGAGAAAAGCCAUUAGAAGUUGCAAGGAACCUCGUCACGGAAAAGGUUCAGAAGUUCUUCAAGCCCGAACUUCUCAACAGGAUUAGUGAGAUUGUGAUAUUCGAGUCACUUUCCUAUGAACAAAUGAAAGAGGUUGCAAAAAUUCAGAUUAAGAACGUUGUAGCUAGAGUAGCCAAUAAGGGCAUCUCUCUGUCUACAACCAAUGCCUUGUUGGACGUCAUAAUGUCGGAGUCACACAAUCCGAUGUAUGGUGCAAGACCCAUAAGAAGGUGGGUGGAAAGAAAUGUGAUAACAAUGCUCUCUGAGAUGCUAGUCAAAGGUGAGGCUGGUGAAGGUUCAGCAAUCUUCAUCAAUGCAACAGAUGACAAGAAGGGGUUGAAAUAUGAAGUGGUGAAGAUGCCGGUCCUAGACUUUUCUAGUGCGUGA
rnacentral:rRNA from 1 species